GACUACGGGCUGGAGAUGGGUAGUAGUGGGUUUUUCCGACUGAAGGAGAUUCUUGAUUGGUCUGGACAGACUGCUGGCACUCCUGGGUGCAAGGCUCUGACCUCAGCUUCUCCAGAGAAGGAAGAGAUGGCAAAGGGGAAGGCCUGGGGUUCCAGGAAGGACUUUGCAACCCCACUGCGGAGUCAGAUCCUCCAGGUCUCCUCCCAGAGCGGCUGCCUGGUAACUUUCCCAGGGUGUCCUUCAGGGAGCAUCUCCUCUUCCAUGUGGCUGGAUUCUUCUGAUAGGAGGCUGCCUUGUAAUUUCGCACUGACAGGACAGUUGGGCCUCAGACAGAGCCUGGGGACUUGGCUGCUUGGAACCAGAACCUGGCCCUUCAGAGGAGCUGCAGAAUUUCAACAGAGGAGAGACUUGGGAGAGGAGGGGGACAGAGCCUGCUUCAAAUGGAAUGGAGUGUGUCCAUCUCUAGCACAUCAUGCUCACUGAAUGUCUGGGGGAGACGGUUGAGGUGGAGCUGAAGGCAGUCGGGGGAGACCUGUGAAGACCUUCUCUGAAGAAGGAGGGUAAAUGCCACAUGAUCUUUGGUGCCUGUUGGUAUCUGGUCCCUUCCCCACUAAUUCUAGUCUUUCUAACUCCUACCCAGGUGUUAGGUGAUCAUGUAUGAAGCAGUGACUUCUUGGGAUUAUGUAUCUUUUACUUUGGAUGUCUAAUCAGAAUAAAGCACUCAUCUUAAAGCCAAGAAGUGAUAAUGAUGGAUGGUGACAUGAUGGAGGCUGCAACCCUUCCACCUGUUUGUAAAACACUAAAAAAAAAGUGACCUCAGGUAAGUAAGUAUCCUCCAGUAAGAAAGUAAUUAUUUCCUACCAACCACAUGAUAAAUGUACAGGUGAGUAAAACUUGGACGGUUGA
rnacentral:lncRNA from 1 species